AACGAACGCUGGCGGCAUGCCUAACACAUGCAAGUCGAACGAGACCUUCGGGUCUAGUGGCGCACGGGUGCGUAACGCGUGGGAACCUGCCUUUAGGUUCGGAAUAACUCCCCGAAAGGGGUGCUAAUACCGGAUAAUGUCUUCGGACCAAAGAUUUAUCGCCUUUGGAUGGGCCCGCGUUGGAUUGGCUAGUUGGUAGGGUAAAAGCCUACCAAGGCGACGAUCCAUAGCUGGUCUGAGAGGAUGAUCAGCCACACUGGGACUGAGACACGGCCCAGACUCCUACGGGAGGCAGCAGUGGGGAAUAUUGGACAAUGGGCGAAAGCCUGAUCCAGCAAUGCCGCGUGAGUGAUGAAGGCCUUAGGGUUGUAAAGCUCUUUUACCCGGGAUGAUAAUGACAGUACCGGGAGAAUAAGCUCCGGCUAACUCCGUG
rnacentral:rRNA from 1 species